UACGUAGGGGGCAAGCGUUGUCCGGAUUUAUUGGGCGUAAAGAGCGUGUAGGCGGCCUGAAAGGUCAGCUGUGAAAACUCGAGGCUCAACGUCGAGACGUCGGUUGAAACCAUCUGGCUAGAGUCCGGAAGAGGAGAGUGGAAUUCCCGGUGUAGCGGUGAAAUGCGCAGAUAUCGGGAAGAACACCCGUGGCGAAGGCGGCUCUCUGGGACGGUACUGACGCUGAGACGCGAAAGCGUGGGGAGCGAACAGG
rnacentral:rRNA from 1 species